rnacentral:rRNA from 1 species
AACGAACGCUGGCGGCAUGCCUAACACAUGCAAGUCGAACGAGAUCCUUCGGGGUCUAGUGGCGCACGGGUGCGUAACGCGUGGGAAUCUGCCCUUAGGUUCGGAAUAACAGUUAGAAAUGACUGCUAAUACCGGAUGAUGACGUUAAGUCCAAAGAUUUAUCGCCUGAGGAUGAGCCCGCGUAGGAUUAGCUAGUUGGUGUGGUAAAGGUGCACCAAGGCGACGAUCCUUAGCUGGUCUGAGAGGAUGAUCAGCCACACUGGGACUGAGACACGGCCCAGACUCCUACGGGAGGCAGCAGUGGGGAAUAUUGGACAAUGGGCGCAAGCCUGAUCCAGCAAUGCCGCGUGAGUGAUGAAGGCCUUAGGGUUGUAAAGCUCUUUUACCCGGGAUGAUAAUGACAGUACCGGGAGAAUAAGCCCCGGCUAACUCCGUG